rnacentral:rRNA from 1 species
GAGUCUGGGCCGCACGCGCGCUACACUGACGGAGCCAGCGAGUUGACCUUGGCCGAGAGGUCUGGGAAAUCUUGAGAAACUCCGUCGUGCUGGGGAUAGAGCAUUGCAAUUUUUGCUCUUCAACGAGGAAUUCCUAGUAAGCGCAAGUCAUCAGCUUGCGUUGAUUACGUCCCUGCCCUUUGUACACACCGCCCGUCGCUACUACCGAUUGAAUGGCUUAGUGAGGCCUCCGGAUUUGUCUAGUGCUGGGGGCAACCUCGGCGCGGGACGGAGAAGCUGGUCAAACUUGGUCAUUUAGAGGAAGUAAAAGUCGUAACAAGGUUUCCGUAGGUGAACCUGCGGAAGGAUCAUUAAAAUUAAUUUAUUACAUUGUUUUUGAAGCAAACACUAAUAACCAUUAAUAUUCAAUAACUUAGAAAAAUCAAAACUUUCAACAACGGAUCUCUUGGUUCUCGCAUCGAUGAAGAACGCAGCGAAUUGCGAUACGUAUCAUGACUUGCAGACGUGAAUCAUCAAUCUUUGAACGCACAUUGCGCCUUGAGGUAUUCCUCAAGGCAUGCCUGUUUGAGCGUCGGCUCCCUUCAAACCCCCGGGUUUGGUGUUGCCUUCCGAAAUAUCACAGUUGUUGCAAUACGUUACUUCAACUUUAUUCUUUCGCCCUCAAAUCAGGUAGGACUACCCGCUGACUUAAGCAUAUCAAUAAGCGGAGGAAAAGAACCAACAGGGAUUGCCUCAGUAACGGCGAGUGAAGCGGCAAAAGCUCAAAUUUGAAAUCCUUCGGGAGUUGUAAUUUGUAGGUUGGGAAACCCCCCGGCUAGUGGCACCAAGUCCCUUGGAACAGGGGGCCCUUAAAGGGGGAAAACCCCCUAGGUACCCCAACACCCUCUUGGGGUUCCCCCCCCAAAAAUCAAAUUUUUUGGGAAAGCCCC